ensembl:lncRNA
GUCCAGUAGAGUCAGUCUGGUGAGGUCCAGUAGAGUCGGUCUGGUGAGGUCCAGUAGAGUCAGUCUGGUGAGGUCCAGUAAUCAGUCUAGUGAGGUCCAGUCCAGAGAGCUUUCUCCUUUCUGUGAUCGCUGCUGGAUUGUAUUAUGAUAUUAUUUUCCCACUGUCACUUUCUCUGUGUGUGUGCGGUGGUGGUGGUGGGGGGUGGGUCUGUUACAGUCCCGUUGCAUCAUUGCUUCUUAAGGGCCGCUUUGUCUCCGAGAAGCCUGGAACUAGGCCCUCUCUUUUCCUGCUGUGGUGAUGUUGGGUGUAUCUGCGUAUUGUAUCUAGUUCCCCUCAGACUCCUUUUGCACUGUUUGUGUGAGUGUGGGUGUGGGUUUGGGUGUGUGUGUGUGUGUGUGUGUGUGUGUG